GAGCGGUAGAGAGAAGCUUGCUUCUCUUGAGAGCGGCGGACGGGUGAGUAAUGCCUAGGAAUCUGCCUGGUAGUGGGGGAUAACGUUCGGAAACGGACGCUAAUACCGCAUACGUCCUACGGGAGAAAGCAGGGGACCUUCGGGCCUUGCGCUAUCAGAUGAGCCUAGGUCGGAUUAGCUAGUUGGUGAGGUAAUGGCUCACCAAGGCGACGAUCCGUAACUGGUCUGAGAGGAUGAUCAGUCACACUGGAACUGAGACACGGUCCAGACUCCUACGGGAGGCAGCAGUGGGGAAUAUUGGACAAUGGGCGAAAGCCUGAUCCAGCCAUGCCGCGUGUGUGAAGAAGGUCUUCGGAUUGUAGAGCACUUUAAGUUGGGAGGAAGGGCAGUUACCUAAUACGUGAUUGUUUUGACGUUACCGACAGAAUAAGCACCGGCUAACUCUGUGCCAGCAGCCGCGGUAAUACAGAGGGUGCAAGCGUUAAUCGGAAUUACUGGGCGUAAAGCGCGCGUAGGUGGUUUGUUAAGUUGGAUGUGAAAGCCCCGGGCUCAACCUGGGAACUGCAUCCAAAACUGGCAAGCUAGAGUACGGUAGAGGGUGGUGGAAUUUCCUGUGUAGCGGUGAAAUGCGUAGAUAUAGGAAGGAACACCAGUGGCGAAGGCGACCACCUGGACUGAUACUGACACUGAGGUGCGAAAGCGUGGGGAGCAAACAGGAUUAGAUACCCUGGUAGUCCACGCCGUAAACGAUGUCAACUAGCCG
rnacentral:rRNA from 1 species